rnacentral:rRNA from 1 species
GACGAACGCUGGCGGCGUGCUUAACACAUGCAAGUCGAACGGAAAGGCCCUGCUUUUGUGGGGUGCUCGAGUGGCGAGCGGGUGAGUAACACGUGAGUAACAUGCACUUGACUUUGGGAUAACUUUAGGGAAAUGGGGAGCAUACCGGGUAGGAGCUCCUGAUGCAUGGGGGGGGUUGGAGAGUUUCGGCGGUGGGGGAUGGUAUAGCGGGUUAUGAGCUUGUUGGUGGGGUAGUGGCUUACCAAGGCUUUGACGGGUAGGCGGCCUGAGAGGGUGAACGGCCACAUUGCGACUGAGAUACGGCCCAGACGGCUACGGGACGCAGCAGUGGAGAAUAUUGCACAAUGGGCGGAAGCCUGAUGCAGCAACGCCGCGUGCGGGAUGACGGCCUUCGAGUUGUAAACCGCUUUCUCCUGUGACGAACCGUGAGUGACGGUAAUGGGUAAAGAAGCACCGGCUAACUACGUG